GGUAACAUCAAAUCGUACCCCAAACCGACACAGGUGGUCAGGUAGAGAAUACCAAGGCGCUUGAGAGAACUCGGGUGAAGGAACUAGGCAAAAUGGUGCCGUAACUUCGGGAGAAGGCACGCUGACAUGUAGGUGAAGUGAUUUACUCAUGGAGCUGAAGUCAGUCGAAGAUACCAGCUGGCUGCAACUGUUUAUUAAAAACACAGCACUGUGCAAACACGAAAGUGGACGUAUACGGUGUGACGCCUGCCCGGUGCCGGAAGGUUAAUUGAUGGGGUCAGCGCAAGCGAAGCUCCUGAUCGAAGCCCCGGUAAACGGCGGCCGUAACUAUAACGGUCCUAAGGUAGCGAAAUUCCUUGUCGGGUAAGUUCCGACCUGCACGAAUGGCGUAAUGAUGGCCAGGCUGUCUCCACCCGAGACUCAGUGAAAUUGAACUCGCUGUGAAGAUGCAGUGUACCCGCGGCAAGACGGAAAGACCCCGUGAACCUUUACUAUAGCUUGACACUGAACAUUGAGCCUUGAUGUGUAGGAUAGGUGGGAGGCUUUGAAGUGUGGACGCCAGUCUGCAUGGAGCCGACCUUGAAAUACCACCCUUUAAUGUUUGAUGUUCUAACGUGGACCCGUAAUCCGGGUUGCGGACAGUGUCUGGUGGGUAGUUUGACUGGGGCGGUCUCCUCCUAAAGAGUAACGGAGGAGCACGAAGGUUGGCUAAUCCUGGUCGGACAUCAGGAGGUUAGUGCAAUGGCAUAAGCCAGCUUGACUGCGAGCGUGACGGCGCGAGCAGGUGCGAAAGCAGGUCAUAGUGAUCCGGUGGUUCUGAAUGGAAGGGCCAUCGCUCAACGGAUAAAAGGUACUCCGGGGAUAACAGGCUGAUACCGCCCAAGAGUUCAUAUCGACGGCGGUGUUUGGCACCUCGAUGUCGGCUCAUCACAUCCUGGGGCUGAAGUAGGUCCCAAGGGUAUGGCUGUUCGCCAUUUAAAGUGGUACGCGAGCUGGGUUUAGAACGUCGUGAGACAGUUCGGUCCCUAUCUGCCGUGGGCGCUGGAGAACUGAGGGGGGCUGCUCCUAGUACGAGAGGACCGGAGUGGACGCAUCACUGGUGUUCGGGUUGUCAUGCCAAUGGCACUGCCCGGUAGCUAAAUGCGGAAGAGAUAAGUGCUGAAAGCAUCUAAGCACGAAACUUGCCCCGAGAUGAGUUCUCCCUGAGACUUAGAGUCUCCUGAAGGAACGUUGAAGACGACGACGUUGAUAGGCCGGGUGUGUAAGCGCAGCGAUGCGUUGAGCUAACCGGUACUAAUGAACCGUGAGGCUUAACCUUACAACGCCGAAG
rnacentral:rRNA from 1 species